GUUGAGUGCCUCGUGUGUUGCUCGGAUUGGUUGAAGGCUGCUGGAAAGUCUCUAUUCAAAGAGCCAACCAAAACUGAACUUGAGGUCUACGGUGAAUUGGAGAAACUUGAGCAAGAUGUUGGAAUUGCCAAUCUUUCGGAUAUUGACGAGUGAUUCUGCAGAUGUGCUUGAGUGCUUGAUUAUGGUUGAUGGAAGGGAAUUGGGGAAGAAGCCAAGCUGAAGAAUGAACAGGAGAAAUCCACUUGUUGCUUAUGUUCUUAACCUCUCUUUUUUUUUCUUUUCUUUUCA